rnacentral:rRNA from 1 species
UUAAGCGACUAAGCGUACACGGUGGAUGCCCUGGCAGUCAGAGGCGAUGAAGGGCGUGCUAAUCUGCGAUAAGCGCCGGUAAGGUGAUAUGAACCGUUAUAACCGGCGAUACCCGAAUGGGGAAACCCAGUGUGAUUCGUCACACUAUCAUUAACUGAAUCCAUAGGUUAAUGAGGCGAACCGGGGGAACUGAAACAUCUAAGUACCCCGAGGAAAAGAAAUCAACCGAGAUUCCCCCAGUAGCGGCGAGCGAACGGGGAGGAGCCCAGAGCCUGAAUCAGCAUGUGUGUUAGUGGAAGCGUCUGGAAAGGCGCGCGAUACAGGGUGACAGCCCCGUACACAAAAGCGCAUGUGCUGUGAGCUCGAUGAGUAGGGCGGGACACGUGGUAUCCUGUCUGAAUAUGGGGGGACCAUCCUCCAAGGCUAAAUACUCCUGACUGACCGAUAGUGAACCAGUACCGUGAGGGAAAGGCGAAAAGAACCCCGGCGAGGGGAGUGAAAAAGAACCUGAAACCGUGUACGUACAAGCAGUGGGAGCACAGGUUUACCUGUGUGACUGCGUACCUUUUGUAUAAUGGGUCAGCGACUUAUAUUCUGUAGCAAGGUUAACCGCAUAGGGGAGCCGGAGGGAAACCGAGUCUUAAUUGGGCGUUAAGUUGCAGGGUAUAGACCCGAAACCCGGUGAUCUAGCCAUGGGCAGGUUGAAGGUUGGGUAACACUAACUGGAGGACCGAACCGACUAAUGUUGAAAAAUUAGCGGAUGACCUGUGGCUGGGGGUGAAAGGCCAAUCAAACCGGGAGAUAGCUGGUUCUCCCCGAAAGCUAUUUAGGUAGCGCCUCGUGAAUUCAUCUCCGGGGGUAGAGCACUGUUUCGGCUAGGGGGCCAUCCCGGCUUACCAACCCGAUGCAAACUGCGAAUACCGGAGAAUGUUAUCACGGGAGACACACGGCGGGUGCUAACGUCCGUCGUGAAGAGGGAAACAACCCAGACCGCCAGCUAAGGUCCCAAAGUCAUGGUUAAGUGGGAAACGAUGUGGGAAGGCCCAGACAGCCAGGAUGUUGGCUUAGAAGCAGCCAUCAUUUAAAGAAAGCGUAAUAGCUCACUGGUCGAGUCGGCCUGCGCGGAAGAUGUAACGGGGCUAAACCAUGCACCGAAGCUGCGGCAGCGACGCUUAUGCGUUGUUGGGUAGGGGAGCGUUCUGUAAGCCUGUGAAGGUGGCCUGUGAGGGUUGCUGGAGGUAUCAGAAGUGCGAAUGCUGACAUAAGUAACGAUAAAGCGGGUGAAAAGCCCGCUCGCCGGAAGACCAAGGGUUCCUGUCCAACGUUAAUCGGGGCAGGGUGAGUCGACCCCUAAGGCGAGGCCGAAAGGCGUAGUCGAUGGGAAACGGGUUAAUAUUCCCGUACUUGGUGUUACUGCGAAGGGGGGACGGAGAAGGCUAUGUUGGCCGGGCGACGGUUGUCCCGGUUUAAGCGUGUAGGUGUGUGUUCCAGGUAAAUCCGGUUCACUUUAACACUGAGGCGUGACGACGAGGCACUACGGUGCUGAAGCAACAAAUGCCCUGCUUCCAGGAAAAGCCUCUAAGCAUCAGGUAACAUCAAAUCGUACCCCAAACCGACACAGGUGGUCAGGUAGAGAAUACCAAGGCGCUUGAGAGAACUCGGGUGAAGGAACUAGGCAAAAUGGUGCCGUAACUUCGGGAGAAGGCACGCUGACACGUAGGUGAAGUGAUUUACUCAUGGAGCUGAAGUCAGUCGAAGAUACCAGCUGGCUGCAACUGUUUAUUAAAAACACAGCACUGUGCAAACACGAAAGUGGACGUAUACGGUGUGACGCCUGCCCGGUGCCGGAAGGUUAAUUGAUGGGGUCAGCGCAAGCGAAGCUCCUGAUCGAAGCCCCGGUAAACGGCGGCCGUAACUAUAACGGUCCUAAGGUAGCGAAAUUCCUUGUCGGGUAAGUUCCGACCUGCACGAAUGGCGUAAUGAUGGCCAGGCUGUCUCCACCCGAGACUCAGUGAAAUUGAACUCGCUGUGAAGAUGCAGUGUACCCGCGGCAAGACGGAAAGACCCCGUGAACCUUUACUAUAGCUUGACACUGAACAUUGAGCCUUGAUGUGUAGGAUAGGUGGGAGGCUUUGAAGCGUGGACGCCAGUCUGCGUGGAGCCGACCUUGAAAUACCACCCUUUAAUGUUUGAUGUUCUAACGUGGACCCGUAAUCCGGGUUGCGGACAGUGUCUGGUGGGUAGUUUGACUGGGGCGGUCUCCUCCUAAAGAGUAACGGAGGAGCACGAAGGUUGGCUAAUCCUGGUCGGACAUCAGGAGGUUAGUGCAAUGGCAUAAGCCAGCUUGACUGCGAGCGUGACGGCGCGAGCAGGUGCGAAAGCAGGUCAUAGUGAUCCGGUGGUUCUGAAUGGAAGGGCCAUCGCUCAACGGAUAAAAGGUACUCCGGGGAUAACAGGCUGAUACCGCCCAAGAGUUCAUAUCGACGGCGGUGUUUGGCACCUCGAUGUCGGCUCAUCACAUCCUGGGGCUGAAGUAGGUCCCAAGGGUAUGGCUGUUCGCCAUUUAAAGUGGUACGCGAGCUGGGUUUAGAACGUCGUGAGACAGUUCGGUCCCUAUCUGCCGUGGGCGCUGGAGAACUGAGGGGGGCUGCUCCUAGUACGAGAGGACCGGAGUGGACGCAUCACUGGUGUUCGGGUUGUCAUGCCAAUGGCACUGCCCGGUAGCUAAAUGCGGAAGAGAUAAGUGCUGAAAGCAUCUAAGCACGAAACUUGCCCCGAGAUGAGUUCUCCCUGAGACUUAGAGUCUCCUGAAGGAACGUUGAAGACGACGACGUUGAUAGGCCGGGUGUGUAAGCGCAGCGAUGCGUUGAGCUAACCGGUACUAAUGAACCGUGAGGCUUAACCUU